rnacentral:rRNA from 1 species
UACGUAGGGGCCGAGCGUUGUCCGGAGUUACUGGGCGUAAAGGGCUCGUAGGCGGCCAACUAAGUCAUACGUGAAAUCCCUCGGCUUAACCGGGGAACUGCGUCUGAUACUGGAUGGCUUGAGUUCGGGAGAGGGAUGCGGAAUUCCAGGUGUAGCGGUGAAAUGCGUAGAUAUCUGGAGGAACACCGGUGGCGAAGGCGGCAUCCUGGACCGAUACUGACGCUGAGGAGCGAAAGCCAGGGGAGCAAACGGG